GAAAUGCGAUAAGUAAUGUGAAUUGCAGAAUUCAGUGAAUCAUCGAAUCUUUGAACGCACCUUGCGCUCCUUGGUAUUCCUUGGAGCAUGCCUGUUUGAGUAUCGUGAAAUCUUCAAAGUAAAUCUUUUGUUAACUCAAUUGGUUUCUACUUUGGUAUUGGAGGUCUUUGCAGCUUCACACCUGCUCCUCUUUGUUCAUUAGCUGGAUCUCAGUGUUAUGCUUGGUUCCACUCGGCGUGAUAAGUUAUCUAUCGCUGAGGACACUGUAAAAGGUGGCCAAGGUAAAUGCAGAUGAACCGCUUCUAAUAGUCCAUUGACUUGGACAAUACUUUUAUGAUCUGAUCUCAAAUCAGGUAGGACUACCCGCUGAACUUAAGC
rnacentral:misc_RNA from 1 species